GAUAUUUUGUUUCCACCAUGAUAUUAAAAUUAGCGAUUGGCAAGGACUAGAUGAGCAUCGGCAUCACGACCAUAGCGAUCAACCUAGCGCCGGACCUUCAGGUGGCGAUCUUCAAAGCGAUGUCGCACGGCGAGCGAGAAGCAUGUACAGGAGAUCAUCAUCAUCGCGAGUCGAGUGUCGGCGCCUGGUUCAAAGGAGGUUUUCGUAUUAAAUCUGGGCUCCUUUUGGACUCUUCUCGAUUGCAGUCCUAGUUUUGUUAGUCGUUCACCAUAAUCAGCAUGAAGAUCGGGUAGAACAGCCUGUACUGCUGUGAUUGCUUAGCUCCCCUGUGCUGCUAUUAUGUGUUAAUUGAUUUACUUUGUCCUUGAAUUGGUGACCUGUGUGUUUCUUCAACAUUUUAAUUUGAUAUUGGUUGAUAGGAAUAUGAUGUGCUUCCUAACCCCAAAGUGAUAGGAUGCUAAGGUUCUGUUGCAAUUAUGGUUAGGUCAGAAGCUUUGAAGAAUUUUGAUCAAGAAGCUUGAAAGAAAUUGGGUUUGGGGGUUUAUCCUUCUUGUGUUGUGCUAGCAUCCAAGGCACCACAUGCUCCUCCACCUGUAUGUUGAAAUGCAUCACUUAGAUGGUUUAUGCAAUGAUGGUAAUGGAAUUCUUGAAUUUGAUGUUGGCUGCCAUAUGUGUAUUCGUGAUAAAGGUGGUGGAUUUGCAAUUUAUACUGGCAUGCUGGUUCUGAUCUCCAACUGUUUGAUGAUAUGGAGGGGGGUAUCAUAUGCGAAUUUCUGACAAAGGUGGAGGUCUCACGCCUAGGCCUUCGGUGGGGUUGUUGUCUUUGUCGGUUUGUUCACUAUUACAAACCUUAAUUGGUGAAAUGAAGGUCAAGGGGUUGACAGCACGGACUUCAUUUGUAGAUUUUGCAACCAGAUUUUGCAAGUAGAUGAUAAGCUUAGCAAUCAAGUACUGGUGGCCACGUUGGUGCUGGUGCACAUCUCUACUCAGAAUGAAAUAGUUGAGUUAGAUCAAAUUCUAGAUUUGCAAAUGUUGAUAGUGACAACCAUGCUGUUACUUUGGAAGUUUUCUUUUUUUCACAAGCUCAGUUGGGAAUAUUUUUUCCAGAAUCUGAUGUGCCAAACACGUCCAAGGCUUCAAUUCAGUCAUUUGGUUCAGUUUUUUAUGCAACCACAAAGGUGAAUGAAGGGCAAUGGAGUUAGUACCCUGCAAACAGAGAUGGGCGGUGGCGAUGUCAGUUAGCCGACGUCGAGUGGCUGGCAAUUGCUGGCCGGCAACGCGGGCAUCCAGCGGUGGUGGUGGCAGGUGGCCAGCGGUGGCGACGACGAUUGGGCGGCGGGUGGUGGCCAGCGAUUGCUGGUUGGCUAGAUAUGGACAUGUGGCAUAGUAUGCUUACCUUAGAAGGAGUGGCAUUGUGUGUAAUUUUGAUAUUUUUUAAUGAUAUCAGGUACUAUAUUUUGGUCUUUGGCCUUAUGCUAAUUAGAUGAAAUUGUAUUCUUAUCUUCCAAAUUAGUAAACUAUAUUGUGUU